UUUUUCCCUUUCUGUUUAUCAAUCAACAGAAACAGGCAUCUACGAAAGUUCAAGGAAAUAGAUGCCGGUGUUCAUGUUUUUUAAACACUCAAUAAAAGGAUGCCUUAAUAAUUACGUUAAAAAAGGAUUUGUCAAGAAACAUGCAAGCAGACACAUACAGCAUACAGACUCAAAACAGUUAUUCGAAGUUAUGGAUUGAACAAACUCAGUGUAUCAUUUGUAGUACAACACUAAAAGUCAACAGAAUUGAUGCAUAUAGAUCCUCCACUUCUGUGUUUAAAAUAUGUUCUGUAUUGUAUCAUAGCCUGAAUUAAUUACCAAGUUUUCACUCAACACGUUGAACAUAUAUGCUUUAUGUAAACAUAAAAAGAAGUAGGUAGAGUAGUGAGUAGUAGGGAAAGUGUUUAGAGAAAAAUAUUUUGACUUCUGUGGACUAACCAGGUAUUAAUUAUUUUCAUGAUGACAAUUUUUUUGGAUUAUCAUGAAAGCAAAUUUUAAACAUCUAUUUUUUGUACUGUUUCUUUUAUUGUGUUAAUAGCCUUUUAGUGCUGCCUAUGAAAAAUUGUUUGCUCAAAACAUCUUGAAUAUUUUCUAAACGCUUAGCCAGAGAAAAUUUGCUAAUAUACA